CAAGGUUUAGGGGGGGCUCUGGGUGUUUAGCCACUUCAAAGUCUCCGAAUCUUUACACUACUACUUGAACCCCUAAAACCCUCUGAAAUGGCCGCCUCAACCGCCGCCAGAUCCAUUUUCCGGUCCUGCGCCGGCCGAAGCUGCGCCUCAGCGGCACGGUUCGCCACUGAAGCGAAAGCUGCUCGCUCACCGUUUCGCAUCGGAGCCAAGCAACCUACAUCAUCCCCCGCUCUCAGGUGUCCUGUUGAAUUGAGCUUCUGUGUGGAGUCGAUGCUGCCCUACCACACUGCCACGGCUUCGGCUUUGAUGACUUCCAUGCUUUCCAUCACUCGCCGCAGUUACGGUUGGCUUCCAGAAGGUAUCUAGCGAACACUUGUAGGGUCCCUUGAUGUCGUUGUCUUCCUUCUAAUUUUCUGCUUGCAAUAAUGAUGCAUGAUCAAUUUCCAAUGAGUCCAGUAGAAGUUUUGUUCAAAGUUCAUGCACUUGAAGAGAAAGAGACUUGGAAGCCUUAAUGAGAUGCAUACUUACAGGACUCUAAACUGAAAAUAAGCCGUUGCUGUUGUUUCUAGUUAAUUGUUUUCCUUUUUUUUUUUUUUUGGAUUAGUCUAAACACCAUGAGGAUUGAGAUGUAAAAUUGGUAUGCCUACGGUAUCUACAUAUAUAUCAUCUUCUCUACAAUGUUGUCAUUUUUGUUAUCUUGGUAUAAGGCAGCUUCGUGUAUCUAGCUUUUGUUUCGUAAAAGUAAACACAAUUGCAUUUGUGGCAGUGAGGUGUUAUAGCUUCUGAUAUGGUUGAUUUAGAAAAGGUUCUUACAUGUUGGAGUUCAAGCCAAAGCUCUUACAGCCAAACUCUUCUUAUAUGUCAGCCCUUGCACUUUUUAGUGUGAGAGUAUAGUCACCUAGUUGAGUUUGAGUUCACAGGAUUUUGGUUCAUAAUAUAGAAAGUUGCAAAGGUUGAUAGGGACAAUGAGCUGACACUUUGAGUUCACUUCCCCAUUUUUCCUCUUCCUUUAUGGUUUUGCCAUGUCCCUUUAAGAUUUCCCCAGUAAGCUGACAUUUA